UUUGAACAUGUAAAAAUUGUCCUAUGAUCUAUAUUGUAUAGUUUAAUAUUACAUAAUAUUAUGUAUUUUUUAGAUUUUGGUAUUUGAGUUUAGGGUUUAUAUUUGGGUUAGGGUUUAGUGAUUAGGGUUUAGGGUUUAGUAUUUAGAAGGUGAGAAGGUAUGGUUGGGGUCAUCAUUAACUUCUUCCAUGCAAUUGUGGACAUUUCAUAAUUUCACCAAUGUGUACUAUGUUAUUUAUUUGUUCCAUUCUAUUUGGGUUUAGAGUUUAUAUUUGGGUUUAAGGUUUACUGAUUAGAGUUUAGUAUUUAGGGGUUGGGGUUGGAGUAUGUUUAGUAUUUAGGGAUUGUAGGUCGGGUUAUAAUAGUAUACUAUUUCGGUGAUAUGGAGUAGUGUAUGUAAUCAAUAAACAUAUACGUGAAUGACUCCUCUUUUUUUCCGAAUAUUUUUUGUGUGCUCUUGACCUUAUAUUCUAUUGACCACGUUAUUUUCUUUCUCACAUUUUUAUUUUUACAAGAAAUUCUGGUAUGUCAUAUUACUAAAAGAUUUACUAUAUGCGGUAAAUAAAUGCAUGACGUUGGUGUUCUUAUGUGAUUUAAUUGUGAAUAGUGGAGCUUUUAUACUAUCUGUGUAUUGAUGUCAUCUAUUACCUCUCUCUGUAACCUAUUACUUGGAAACGUGAAGGACAUAACCGGACUAAAUGUGUGUAUAAUGUUAUUGAUUUAAUAACGUCAAAAUCAUGUCUAUAUACUUAAGAUUGACUCAGAAAUUAGCUAGUUCGCCAAUUCUCCCUUUCCAAAACAUAUAAAUUCCAUACAAACGCUGAUGCAAACGAGUGAGAGACCAUACAAACAGGUAAAAGUAGGGAAUCAUAUCUCGAUCAAUCAUCAAUGCAAUGAAACAUUUAGAUCACCGUUAACUAACUAAUACUAAGUCAUAGUAGAAAAGUUUGAAAUAUCAGAAAGAUGUCAUCUAACAAAACUAUUCUAUGUCAUUUAAUCAAAAUGUUUUUUUUUUUAAUGAAAAGUUUUAAGUAACAGACAGUAAAGAACUAGUUCCAUCGAAUCUAAUUUUGUUAAUAUAAAAUUAUCUUUUGAUUUACACAUAAAUAAUUUGACAUAUAUGUAGAAUGAUUAAAAUUGUUGAGGUUUGGUCUCCAGUUCAUCUUAGGAUCAUCUCUGGUUUACAGAGGAAGAGACGUGACGUUGAAGAGGAAGGCCGAGAGCUGGUCAAGCUCUUGUACACCAAACACUCUAGGUAAACAAGCGGGUUUCAAGUGGAAGAAGUAUUUGAAAGUUGCUGGAUGGGAUAGAGUCUUUUGGUCUAUAGUUUACUUGGUGCUUGAGUCACGUGUUGUCACACGUGAGAAGCCUUUUCUGUUAAAGAGAACCAGAGAGAGAGUUAAGCUUCUUCAAGACUUCUUCAUGGCGAUUCUAGAGAGAGAGAUAAGAGAGAUCUAAAGAGAGUGAGGAGGUUUCAUUCUCGGGUUCUAGGGAUUCUUUUCUUAUUCUUUUCUUCUUGUAAGCAAACCGGGUUGUGGUUUGCGGGUGAGCGAUAGCUUGUACACACCACCACCGGAGGUAGUUUCCGGUGACAUAUAGUGGAGGCAGUUGGGGAGCAAGAGUUCUCCCCUCCGGAUGUAACCGUUCUUUAACAUGGUGAACCGGGUGAACAUAUCAAUGUGCACAAGUGUUUAUAGCUACGAAUCUGUGAAUCAGGAUUAGUGGAAUCUGGUUUGAUUCCUCAACAAGUGGUAUCAGAGCCGUGGUUCGACGAUUCACAAGUUCAAUCGACUCACGGAGUUCAUGAUUUCUCGAGGUGAAGAAAUAUGAGGAUGAAUCAAGAUUCGUCGAAGUCGGAGAUGGAAGCGGUAUGUUCUUUAUCGGCUUCAAUGGUGUAUCCGACGAGCAAAAGGAAGUUCGUCAGUGAUGGCGGUAUCUGAUUCUCUGAAGAGGUUUAAGUUAACAUCUAUGUCGCAAGUUCAUAAACAAGAAGGAUCGGAGAAAUCUUUUGGUUCUGCAUUAUCGAAAUCUGGAGGAAGAAAGGUUAUGUGGCUGAUCUUGGAGUGGUUGUUUAUGGAAUUGACGGGAAGGAUGUGGUGAAGAAUAAAGUUGAGAAAAUCGGUUUCUGGUUUUCUAGAGGAUCAAAGGUUCGGCGACUUCCAGUGGUUCGAUGAGUUUCUACGGUUGAGUGAUUCACUGCGGUUCUGUGGUUUACAAAGACGGUGUGGAUUCUAAGGAUCAAAGCAUCUGGAUGGUUGGGUCUUAGUAUCGACAAAGGGAGGUGCUAUUGUAGGAUUAAGCUCACCAGGAAUGGUGGAAGAAAGAUCACCAGUAAAGUUAAUCAGAAGAGAUGGUUCCAGGUUUAAUGGAAUCAUGAAUACUGUACGUUAGGGUUCUCUUGGGCUCGAUACUAUGCAACGAUGCAUGUUGUGGUUUAAAGAAGCUGCAGGAGGAAUCGUUACGAGAACGAGAAGGGAUAGUUUCAGAGAAUAGUUCAAGACAGUGGACACAAGAAGAGGUUCUUGUAUCUGUGGCGUUGAAACCGUUUCGAGAUUGAUGGAGGGUGAAUGUAUCUUCAAGUACAGUUCAGUUCAGGUUCGAAGUAUGAGUUAUGAACAUGACUCAGGUAAACCAGAAUCGUGAAAACAUCUCUCAAGACUCAAAUCUUGUAGACUGACAGAGUGAUCCCGCUGCAAUCACAAGAGAAUUUGUGAUAUAGUAAGCUUUGCACCACAUGUAUUUCUAUUGAAUCUCUUCCGCGUUAGAGCAUGGAGUUUAGUCUUCAGGUUUGGUUGAAGAACAACAAUGGAACUGAUAGAUUCUGGAUUCUGAGGGACGCCUUGGGAGGUUGAAUCUACAUUAAAUUGUCUGUUGAAAUAUCAGGGUAAAGGUUUAGAUUCAAGUGUAUGUGAAGUUAUCUGGGUCUUGGUCAGGUUGAGUAUAAGAUCAAGACAGUAAGUGGCUGCGAAGUUUGACAGUUUAUGGGAAGAUUUGCGAUGGUUUUGUCUACAUGUUAAGUCUCUGGAAUUUAGUUGGAUGAUGCGAUUAUCAAGUUUUAAAAGGUGGAUCAUCAAGAAGCUUGGAGCAGCAGGAGAAGGUUCAAGGGAAAAGUGGAUCAAUGCUGCAACCUUCAGAAUAUGAGUCAAGGCUCUGAAGGAAGCGUGUACAGUCUUCAAAGUCACAAGGAAACUGAAACUGGUUAAAGCUUCUGUAGAAGAAGACUGUGUGUGCAACGACUGGUCGUAUGCUGAAUCAGAUGGGUCAGUUUGGUAACUGGGAAAGAAGCAUCUGAAGUAUUGAAAGAAGCUGAGUCAGCUCAAGGUGGAGUUCUUAGCUCAAGGUGGUGCUCUAAACUCAGCUAGAGUUCUCAGUUGAUUAUAGAAGCGUUUCAGAUAUGAAAGUGAGGACUUUGAUGGUGACUGAGACAAGGCAAUGAUGAAGUUCUUGGUGGCACAUGAAGAGGUCGUGUGAUAAGGCAUAUGAGUGCCAGUCUUGUUGAAACUAGGAGAAGGAGUCUGGUUUCUGGUAUAUAUGGCUCAGGUAAAAGAGUCAAGGAUACCUACUGUGCCUGGUUAUUAGGAGACCUAGACAAUGGAGGUCCUAAGGCACAAUCUCAGUUUGAUACAAGCAAAGGAAAAUGCUUGUGUAACUUGAAUUACCAGAAAAGUCUAUUGAGUUAAAUAUGAGGUUUAAAAGGUUCUAAAGGGAAGCAGCAGGGAAGUCUUCAGGUUGUAUCGAAGAAGAUACAUAAAAGGUUCUUUGACAAGUUUCAAAAGAAGCAUCGGAGGAUCUGAGUAGUGAAGCUCAAAGUAAGCUGAAGAUUCAAGGAGAACUGUAUGUCUGAGUUCAAGUUACUGAUAAGAAGUUCCCAGUAAAAGAAAGUGAAGCUGAGGUUAGAAUAACGUGAAGCUUCAGGGUAUUGUUCCAGGGGGAGCGCAUGAUAUUACAGAGUUUGUAAUGUAUUCAAAGGGGAAUUGUCUUCUAGGUGGAGCUAUGUUUUCAGAAGGAACCUGGUAUUAUCAAAUCUCAAGGAGAUAUCUGAUGGAUCAGAUGAUAGAUUAAUGGUUUAAGAGGCUACAUUUUUGUUUUGUAUGAGAAGUUUCUCAGGAUACCUCGCAAUGGACUGAGCUUUGGUGGUAUGUAUCGAAAGUCUUCCUAAUGUUGAGUGUUAGGCGGCGUGUCCUGUAGGUGUAAACAGCGGUACAUAAAGGUUCUGUUGACUUUGUUUGAGGAGAGAUCAAAGAUCAUUUUGGUUUCUGGUCUGAGGCGAAGAUUGGUGAAGAAUCAGUCUGAGUUUUGCACAAAUCAGAAUAUAAGCCGGCUCUGGAGUUAAAUAAACUCAAGGUUGCUGAAACGUGGAAGGUUGCUGAAACGUGGAAGGUUGCAAGGUUUAUGCAACUGAUAUAAAUUCCUAGAAAGGGUUAUGGAUGCAGCAGAUGUCGAACUGCAUUUUUUCUGAGACAGCAACUUCAGGAGUUAUGGGUUGUUUGUGCUUGCAUCAAGAAGAAAGUUUAAGUAAUCUUCUCAGAGAAAGACACUUGCAGGUUAUGGUCAAGUGAAAGCUCGUAAAUUGCAUGCUGGAGAAAAUUGUUGAGCUUAUAGAGGCUAUGGCUCAGGUCUGAGAAAGGUUAAGAUGCAAAGGACCAAAGGACCAAAGGUUUGGUGGAGUUUGCACACUGGUGAAUGUGUUGCGGGUCUGUUACAGAUUGAGGAUCACGUCGUGAGCUCAAGUUUAAUGUGAAAGAAUCUGUAAAGGAUAUCUCUGAAGCAUAUCAACUUCGAUGGUGAGAGACGUGGCUAAAGGUUUCUGGUAGUGAGUUAAAAUCUGCUAGUACAUGUCUGUUUGUUCAGUAGGAUCGAAGUCGGUUUUGGUAUCGAGUGUGUUCACAUCGAGGUGGAGUUGUGAAGUGUGUUAUGUCGACAUUCAACAUGGAUAGAAGUUGGAUUCAAGGCUGAAUGGCAAAAACAGAGGUUGAAUUAAGAGAUGCUCGGGAUUAUGAAGCAUGUCUGAUUCGGUUCACUGCAUUGUUUAAAGUCGGUCAAGAGUUUGGACUCAAUGCGCAUGAGGAACUCUUAGAGGCUAGCAACAGAAACAAGAUGGCAAAGUGAUAAGUUUGUUUUUAAUCACUGAAACAGGUUUAUGAUUAGAACAGAAAUCAUAAAGGAGACUGUGUGAUUAAUAAGCUCAUGAGCGGUUUAGCUUAUGGAAAUUUCUGUUGGUCUGUAAAAUGUAUUAUCUCUUGGUAUUAACUGUUGUUUUGAGAUGAUUUUACAGGGAAUUAAAGUAGCUUCAAGGAAGUCAGGCUAAUGUGAUUCAAGUUUGCACUUUAUUGAAAUGAGAGGAGACUAAAGACUUGAACUCACUGCAGGAGUUUAUUUCAGGAGUCAAAACUUAUUUGAUGGUUAAGUGCAGGACUGCCUACAAGUUGAAAUGAGGAUCAAUGGGAGUUUUGGCUGACACAAGGAUGAGUGUAGCCAAGUGAAAACUCAUAGACAUGGUUAUUCGUUUGUUGGUUCAGAAGCGUAGUCUAACCUUACUUCUGAAAUUCAAAAAGUGUUUGUCUAGUUCAUUGAUGUUACUAACGAAACUUGUGCUAUAUGAGUCAGACUUAUGCAGGUGUGUAUAAGACUGAUAUGGUGUGUGCAAAGCUAGAAGUUGAAACUGGAAGUUUCAGGAGGCUCCAAAGAUGAGAGACAGAGGCUGAAGAUUCUCUGGUCAUGAGUUGCGGUUCCGGCACGAACUAGUGUUGGAGGCUUCGGUGAAGGCGUUUAUCGGAGGAAUUCAAAAUCCUUAAUUCAGAAGUCAUGAUUGAAGGAAGAGGUCAUCUGAGAUUGAGUUGAAACUAGACCAAGGUGGAGAAUGUUGAGGUUUGGUCUCCGGUUCAUCUUAGGAUCAUCUCUGGUUUACAGAGGAAGAGGCGUGACAUUGAAGAGGAAGGCCGAGAGCUGGUCAAGCUCUUGUACAUCAAACAUUCUAGUGAACAAGCGGGUUUCAAGUGGAAGAAGUAUUUGAAAGCUGCUGGAUGGGAUAGAGUCUUUUGGUCUAUAGUUUACUUGGUGCUUGAGUCACGUGUUGUCACACGUGAGAAGCCUCUUCUGUUAAAGAGAACCAGAGAGAUUGACGACGUUAACAGAGAGAGAGAGAGAGAGAGAGAGAGAGUUGAGUUUCUUCAAGACUUCUUCAAUGGCGAUUCUUGAGAGAGAGAUAAGAGAGAUCUAGAGAGAGUGAGGAGGUUUCAUUCUCGGGUCCUAGGGAUUCUUUUCUUAUUCUUUUCUUCUUGUAAGCAAACCGGGUUGUGGUUUGCGGGUGAGCGAUAGCUUGUACACACCACCACCAGAGGUAGUUUCCGGUGACAUAUAGUGGAGGCAGUUGGGCAGCAAGAGUUCUCCCCUCCGGAUGUAACCGUUCUUUAAUACGGUGAACCGGGUGAACAUAUCGAUGUGCACAAGUGUUUAUAGCUACGAAUCUGUGAAUCAGGAUUAGUGGAAUCUGGUUUGAUUCAGUGGAAUCUGGUUUGAUUCCUCAACAAAAAUUAUGAAUGCUUUGUCCUUUUCAGUUUGACAUUUAAAUAUCUUCCUUAUGUAACAUUCUUUUGCUAACGCUAUCUACAUUUUUAUGCUAUGGAUCGAACGUGAACAAGAACAUUAUUUUUUGAA